rnacentral:rRNA from 2 species
AAUCCAUAGGUUAAUGAGGCGAACCGGGGGAACUGAAACAUCUAAGUACCCCGAGGAAAAGAAAUCAACCGAGAUUCCCCCAGUAGCGGCGAGCGAACGGGGAGGAGCCCAGAGCCUGAAUCAGCAUGUGUGUUAGUGGAAGCGUCUGGAAAGGCGCGCGAUACAGGGUGACAGCCCCGUACACAAAAGCGCAUGUGCUGUGAGCUCGAUGAGUAGGGCGGGACACGUGGUAUCCUGUCUGAAUAUGGGGGGACCAUCCUCCAAGGCUAAAUACUCCUGACUGACCGAUAGUGAACCAGUACCGUGAGGGAAAGGCGAAAAGAACCCCGGCGAGGGGAGUGAAAAAGAACCUGAAACCGUGUACGUACAAGCAGUGGGAGCACAGGUUUACCUGUGUGACUGCGUACCUUUUGUAUAAUGGGUCAGCGACUUAUAUUCUGUAGCAAGGUUAACCGAAUAGGGGAGCCGGAGGGAAACCGAGUCUUAAUUGGGCGUUAAGUUGCAGGGUAUAGACCCGAAACCCGGUGAUCUAGCCAUGGGCAGGUUGAAGGUUGGGUAACACUAACUGGAGGACCGAACCGACUAAUGUUGAAAAAUUAGCGGAUGACCUGUGGCUGGGGGUGAAAGGCCAAUCAAACCGGGAGAUAGCUGGUUCUCCCCGAAAGCUAUUUAGGUAGCGCCUCGUGAAUUCAUCUCCGGGGGUAGAGCACUGUUUCGGCUAGGGGGCCAUCCCGGCUUACCAACCCGAUGCAAACUGCGAAUACCGGAGAAUGUUAUCACGGGAGACACACGGCGGGUGCUAACGUCCGUCGUGAAGAGGGAAACAACCCAGACCGCCAGCUAAGGUCCCAAAGUCAUGGUUAAGUGGGAAACGAUGUGGGAAGGCCCAGACAGCCAGGAUGUUGGCUUAGAAGCAGCCAUCAUUUAAAGAAAGCGUAAUAGCUCACUGGUCGAGUCGGCCUGCGCGGAAGAUGUAACGGGGCUAAACCAUGCACCGAAGCUGCGGCAGCGAC